ACUGCUUCCCGGGCUAUUAAAAAAAACAGCCAUCGUCGACGAAGCUGGUCACCGUGGUUCUCGCCGGAAUUUGUUUCCUCAUCGACACCACCAGCACCACUCUCCCUUCUCCAUUCACUAGUCCUCUUCCUCAAAUGCCAAACGCCUCCAGCAACAUCACCGCCGAUACCGAGGACGAAAACACUUUUCCUUCUCUUCUUCUAAUUUUUUCUUGAAUGCUGCUCUGUUGAUUAGUUUCUUCUAUUGUUUGGUGUUUUGUGUACUGAGAUUGGGAAUGAUAAGUGUGUGUUGGGUGCUGGAAAUUGGUCUUUGUUCUUGGUGAUUGGAUUUUGUUUCUGUGGCUUUGUGCAGUGCAGGUUGAAGACGAUGGUGUUAUGCUUGAGUUGGGAUAGAGGUUUCAAUGGGUAAAUGGAAUGGUUUUGAUGAAGAUGAAAAUACUGUUUUGGUGUUGUUCUUUCCGUUGUUCCUUUCUGGUGAGUAUCUGGCUUAAUGAUUCAACCUCAUUAUUAAUGAUUGGGGAUGGACAGAGGCAUGGGGGGACAUAGUUUUAUUGUCUGUUAUGGUUUAUAGUUGAUCAAAGUUUGAGGUCUUGCGUAAAAAGAUGGAAGUUUGGCUGUUGGUUGAGGGGGUGAACUUGCUUGGGAUGAGAGAAAUAGGACCGUAAAAGUGGACAUGGGGAAGGUGACGAUGGACAUUUCUAAAUGUCCACCAUGCUAGGAACGUGUUAAACAACAAUCAUGCAAACAUAGCAACAAAGUAACAAAGAUAUGUUCAAGAGCAAGUAAACAACUUACCAAAACAUAGAGUGCAGAGUAAUGUUUACCUCUUGGAGAUGCGUUUACUAUUAUCAACCUUGUGAUAGGAGUUCCCUCCUCCAGCAAUGGAUGAUGAUCUAUGACGGUGAUCAGUCUCCAAAUGCUCUCGAUGAUGUGUUAAAACCCAGUACUCAAUGCUCUCCUCCGGUGCCCUGUUGUAUUCUCCUUUUUCUCAUGCCGCCUCGUCAAAAACCCGAUCCCCUCACUGUCCCAGUUCUGUUCUCUGUGUGAUUUCAUCUUUGUCUUUUUCCUUUUUUCAUGUAUUCAUUGUAUCAGUUGAACAAAAACCUCCAAAAUCUUCACUCUUUCCAUGAAUAUGAAUGUAUGCUACUCUGCUGCUUAAGAUUUUUUAGCAAGAAAUACAGAGGCAUUUUUCGCACUGCCCCGUAUAAGCACAUUUUAAGCAUUUCCUUUGUACCGCCUGAACACUCCAAAUGGGAACAGAGUUGACCUAAGAAUUUUAUUUUUCCUUUCAUUUUUUUUUUACUUUCUUCAUUUUUUCAUUUUUUCAUUUUCUUAUAUGAAAAAUAUCCCUUGGACUUAAAAUAUAAAACGAACAAAAUAAUUAAAAUAUGAAAGUACAAUACAUAAAAAGUAAACCGAAAAAAGAGAGAACAUAAAAACAAAAAUAAGACAAAAAUGAAAUAGCAUAAAACGAAAAAUGGAAUGUAAUAAAAUAAAUUAAAAUAAAAUAAAAUAAGAUAAAUAAAAUAAAAUAAGAUAAAAUAAAAUAAAUGAAAGAAAGUAAAAUGAAAUAAAAUAAAAAAAAUGACAAAUAAAAUAAAAUAAAACAAAAUAUAAUAAAAUAUAAAACUGAGAUAAAAUAAAUAAAAACGAAACCAACUGGAAAACAGGGGAUAAAAUUAAAAGGAAAGAAAACAAACAAAAAUCCCCUUUUUUUUUUAGAAUUUAUAUGAAAAUUAUCUUUGUUCCCUUUUUUUUAUUUUAUUACUUCUUAUUAACUUUAGAUAUUUUUUUUAACUAUCCGGACGAAAUUGAGUAUUGACAGUGACAUAUUUUUUUCUUCGUCUCUACAUGAGUACAACUCUUUAAGUAUGUUAUUUCUAAAGCUUUCAUGUAAGCUUUCCUUAAUGAUCUGACGUUUCUUGUAAACAACUUGCUAGACGAUAUAGGUUUCAGAGAAACACUAUUGUGUAUGUUCUUACUUUGAGAAGACUUUGUAUUAGUAUUUGGACGAUUUGCGUAGCUUCUUGUAUAAAGCCUUAUGUUUCCAUUCGACUUGAGUAAAUGCUUAGACGUUAUAGGUCAAGUAGGCACUUCUCUUCCUGAAAGGAUAUUUCGUUUAAUGUUUAUUAUUAAACUUCAAAACUUAGGCUUGUUAAACGGUCUAGUCUCUCUAGACGAUCUUGACUUAACAACUUAGAGUGUUCAUAAUCCUUCAAUCUCAUAAUAUAAACCUAUAGAAACAUAGGGAUCACUUUAUAUUACCUAUAGUCCUUCAUACAUCACACAUGCAAGAUAUUUCCUAGGAAUCAUGACUCUCAAGCUUUCAAACACAACUUCUCAAACUCUUCCAACAAAGUUUCCUCUACCUUAGGUCGAUUGACCCUGGCCGAUGGUUCACUGAAUCGGGCCUACUCGACGGUUGAGUUAGUCAGUUGUAACCAAAGGUCAAUCUAAGUCAAGUUUGUUAGAAGGCCAAGUCAGAUUGUUCCCGACCGAAGAUCGUCUGGGGUUAGCUAUAACCAAAUGUCGACUGAGUAGGCCUAAGUCUAUUGACUUAAGAUUGAUGGAAUCGAUACAUUUAAAGGUAAACAAAAUCAACCUCGACCAUGGAUUGGCCAAACAUCCCUUGAGUCAAUCUCGACUAAAGGUUAGCUCGAAUGGCCUUUGUUGGAAAACAAGUAGGCUUCUUUAUACACCAAGAGGGGGUGAAUUGGUGAUGUUUCAAAAAUAUGUUCUUUUCGCAAUCUUGCAAACAAAGUAUAAAUCCUUUUAAACUUUCUUGAAAUGCAAGCAAUCAGAAAAUGUAUGCAGCGGAAGAAACAUAGUAGACUGCGUUAGAAAUAGAGUCGACUCGAAUGUAAAAGAUAAGGGAUAGAGAAAUUUAAACAUAGGUUUUCAUACUGGUUCAGCCAACAAUGCCUACAUCCAGUGUACUUCCACCUGGAAGGAGAUGCACUAUAAUGGUUACGAUUUUUACAACAAGGAAUUCAUAGAAGACCUCCACGUCAAAAAUAUAAAUCUCCUUUCUAACCCAAAACCAAAAUAUAGCUGCACAACAAAACCAAAAUUGCAGCAAGAAUCCCCUCUUCUACAAUCUCCAACACCACUUUGAACAAUCCUCAAAGUGCAUUAUCCCCCUAUAUCACAACAGGUACAAUUCCAGCAGUCUUCACAGGAUGCCAAGCCUUCAACACGAUCAAACAGAUGCACCUUUCUUGUGCAGGUAAUGAUUAGCAAGUGUAAGCGCACAAUGUCUCCUCAAUGAAUCUCGUUUAACAAAGAUCACAACCAUCUUCUUGGAGAAUUCUUGGAGCUAAGAGAAAUCUGAAACAUAAAUGAAAUUGUCAGUUUAUCAAAAGUCUCUGAACAAACCUGUGUUUAGUCUAUUUAUAUAUUUUUGUUAUAUAGUCAGAUUCUCAGUCGAAUGUGCUACUAAUUCAGUCGACUGUAUUAUAACAGUUAUAACAGUUCAGUCAACAUAGUAGCUCACGGUCAACAAAUAACAAAACACAUUCAAUACAGUUGACCAGGUCAUCAAUGUUAAACUAACUUUUAAAAAUAUAGCCGUUAGAGUGCAAGAGCAUAACAAAAUUUUAAAUCAGACAAAAGAUAUAGUCGAAUACGUAAACCACAUAGUCGACAUCAACCAUGUAAAACAUUUUGAAAUUCUUUUCUUCUCAAAAUUACACAUAGCACUGAUCCUCAAAAUCUGCACAAAGACUUUAGCAUAGUCGAAUCCAUUCACAAUGUAAUCGACUGUACUAGAACUUUGUCACACAGUUAAAAGUUCAUAAAAGUGCUUGUGUUUUUUAGCUUUAAAACAUGUGCAGUAAAACAUAUUAAAUGAUGCAAAGCACAUAGCACAUAAAGCUUAUAAACACGUUCCAAAUAUAUAUCAAUCAGUCAGCAUAGGAACACGUAACAUAGUUCAUAAACAUGUUCAACAAAUAUAACAAUUAAUAUACAUAAGAACAUGUAAUAACAGUAAACAACAUAUGCAUGUUAUUAAGCAAUGUGUUGUCAUCAUCAAAAACUAGAUUGAUAUAAAAAUUGUGUUGUCAACAAUCUCCCCCUUUUUUUAUGAUGCACAACCAUGAUUAAUAACCAACCAUGUUUGCACAGUCUAAUUCAAAAAUGCAAAAUAUCAAGCAGAAUAUGAGAUAGAAUGAAAAUGCAUUUUUCCCUUUCAUAUUCUCCCCCUUUCAUUAGGCUUUCAUACAAUUUCUCAAAUCUCUCCCCCUUUGUGCAUUAGCAAAAAAAGGUAUGCUCUAGAUAUUUAUGCUGAAAUAUCAAACAGAGAUGCACCAAAACAAAAAUAUGCAAUAGUCAAUAUGUAGUGAUGCUCUCUUUAGCACAUUUAAAUCACAUGAAAAUGAUAACUCCCCCCUGAAGUGUAGGCAUGUGAAAUACAAUGUGUAAAAUGUGAUACUCCCCUUGUCAUCAUGCAUGGAUAUUCAUAUUAGAUCAGAUGCACAAUGCAGUGUAACAGAGAGUACACAAAGCAGUAUAGUACAAAUAUGUAUCAAAGAUAAGAUAGUAAAUAGAUUAGUCAUGCAAUGAUACAAUCAACAAUCUCACAAUAUUAUCUCAAAUAUGAUAUUUAAAGAACAAUUUAUAUAAGAGAUAAUAGCAGAUAUUCAGAAAUAAGCAAUCAAUGAAAGAAUAACCAAAUUCCAAAAUUGGAAUUUAUAACCCUGUUAUAGAACAGUCGAUUGUUGUAAUUCUCCAAUCGAAUAUAUUGCUUUCCAAUGUUGUUGAAUUUCACUUGUAAUUGCGAAAGCAAUGUUCUUCCUGCAAAACUUUCAAAAAUCCUUUCCAGAUCAAGCAUUUUAGUUAAGCAAGAAUUAUAAUCAAAAGUAACAGAAGUCAAAAUAUAAAGAUGUAAAAUUGUUCAAGCAUAUCCGACAUCACACAAAACAUAGUCGAAUUAAUCAAUCAGUAUAUCAGAUAUUAAACAAUCAGAUUAAAGCAAUUGGAUUGAUUGAAAAUACUAAUAUGAUUCCUUGAAAAAGAUAUUACAUGGAUAAGACCAGACAAGUAGAACAAAAGAAAACAAAAGAUGGCAUUAUAGGCCAUGUACAAAAGAUGACAAAGGAUAACAGAAGAUAUCAAAAGACUGAUAACUGUCUAAAAACUGUUAUUUUCAUACUUAAAUUUGAUACUAAAACAUACCCUUUAUGGCUUUGAAUGGGCUUAAAAUCAAGUAAAACACUUAGUUAAGUCUUGUGAGACUCAAAAGUUGGUUUUAGAGAUAUUAUGCUUGUUUUUACAUUGUUUUGCAGGGUUUAAAGGUGAAUUGAAGAUGGAAGUGAAGUAAGGUGGAUUUAGACCCAUGAAAGAAGGAGAAAAAUGACGAAAAGAAGGGUCAAGUGAGCCGCUGAGCGGCAGAAUGGACUGAUGAGCGCUCAGAACGAUUAGAGGGAAACCGCUCAGCGGCAAAACUGACCGUUGAGCAAUCAAAGCGGCUAGAGGGAAACAUAGGCGCCUGGGCGGUUGUUUGUUUUUAAUUGCUAGAUUCUGUAAUCUUUCUGUUAUCUUUUUAGGCUUAUACAUAGCCCCAUUACGAAUCAAAACACAUUCUUUUGGCAGAGAGAAACAUCUAGAGCUAUUCCACACACCUUGGAGGAGGUUCCUUGGAUGCUUAGGCUCCAAUCUACCAAGUUUAGGGUUAUUUCUUCCAUUCUUUCAUCAUAUUUCAUCUAGUUUCACCAUGAUUACGGUGAACUAAACCCUAGGUUGUUGGGGAACAAUGUAAUCUUUUGAAACUCUAAUAUAUCCAAAUUCUUAUUUAUUUUAUAUGCUUGCAUAUGCUUGAUUUAUCAAUUGUUGGGUUCUUCACCUUUGCUUAAUGCUUUUAUCGUUUAACUCAUUCGGCAAAUGUUGUUUGUCUUUAUUGAUACGGGGAUGUACAAUAAUGUCAUGAACUGGUGUUGAAUUCCUUGAUUAUGUUAAUACCGCCUAGGGAUAGGGGUAGGACGAUAAAUUGUAUUUUGCUUCCGUUUAUCAUGCAUUAUUAAUUACUAAGGAAGGCUAGGGAUAGCAAGCCGGUAAUUAGUAAUUGGCUCUUUUCACCAAGGGAUUGGGUUAAGGGUAGACUAAGAAAGUUUGCAUGACAAUAUGAUAAAUAAGCAAAUUAAAUAAGAAGAGUAGAUAUAUGAGGGUGAAUAAGAUGAAAUUGUAAACCCCAAAACUCCAUUCAUCCAUAGUUUCUUAAAGCCAAUUGAAUCAUUGCAUUUGCAUGUUUACUUUUGUUCUUUGCAUUAACAACUCAAUUUAAUUCUUUUCUCAAGUCUUACGCAAUUUGUUUACAUGAAAAGUAAGGCCUAAGAGUCCUUUGGGAAACGAUACUUUGACUUACCCAUUUAUAUUACUUG
rnacentral:lncRNA from 1 species